rnacentral:rRNA from 1 species
UUUAGCUACAGGCUUAACACAUGCAAGUCGAGGGGCAUCAGGAAGAAAGCUUGCUUUCUUUGCUGGCGACCGGCGCACGGGUGAGUAACACGUAUCCAACCUGCCCUUUACUCGGGGAUAGCCUUUCGAAAGAAAGAUUAAUACCCGAUAGCAUAAUGAUUCCGCAUGGUUUCAUUAUUAAAGGAUUCCGGUAAAGGAUGGGGAUGCGUUCCAUUAGGUUGUUGGUGAGGUAACGGCCCACCAAGCCUUCGAUGGAUAGGGGUUCUGAGAGGAAGGUCCCCCACAUUGGAACUGAGACACGGUCCAAACUCCUACGGGAGGCAGCAGUGAGGAAUAUUGGUCAAUGGGCGCUAGCCUGAACCAGCCAAGUAGCGUGAAGGAUGAAGGCUCUAUGGGUCGUAAACUUCUUUUAUAUAAGAAUAAAGUGCAGUAUGUAUACUGUUUUGUAUGUAUUAUAUGAAUAAGGAUCGGCUAACUCCGUGCCAGCAGCCGCGGUAAUACGGAGGAUCCGAGCGUUAUCCGGAUUUAUUGGGUUUAAAGGGAGCGUAGGUGGACUGGUAAGUCAGUUGUGAAAGUUUGCGGCUCAACCGUAAAAUUGCAGUUGAUACUGUCAGUCUUGAGUACAGUAGAGGUGGGCGGAAUUCGUGGUGUAGCGGUGAAAUGCUUAGAUAUCACGAAGAACUCCGAUUGCGAAGGCAGCUCACUGGACUGCAACUGACACUGAUGCUCGAAAGUGUGGGUAUCAAACAGGAUUAGAUACCCUGGUAGUCCACACAGUAAACGAUGAAUACUCGCUGUUUGCGAUAUACAGUAAGCGGCCAAGCGAAAGCAUUAAGUAUUCCACCUGGGGAGUACGCCGGCAACGGUGAAACUCAAAGGAAUUGACGGGGGCCCGCACAAGCGGAGGAACAUGUGGUUUAAUUCGAUGAUACGCGAGGAACCUUACCCGGGCUUAAAUUGCAGUGGAAUGAUGUGGAAACAUGUCAGUGAGCAAUCACCGCUGUGAAGGUGCUGCAUGGUUGUCGUCAGCUCGUGCCGUGAGGUGUCGGCUUAAGUGCCAUAACGAGCGCAACCCUUAUCUUUAGUUACUAACAGGUUAUGCUGAGGACUCUAGAGAGACUGCCGUCGUAAGAUGUGAGGAAGGUGGGGAUGACGUCAAAUCAGCACGGCCCUUACGUCCGGGGCUACACACGUGUUACAAUGGAGGGUACAGAAGGCAGCUAGCGGGUGACCGUAUGCUAAUCCCAAAAUCCUCUCUCAGUUCGGAUCGAAGUCUGCAACCCGACUUCGUGAAGCUGGAUUCGCUAGUAAUCGCGCAUCAGCCACGGCGCGGUGAAUACGUUCCCGGGCCUUGUACACACCGCCCGUCAAGCCAUGGGAGCCGGGGGUACCUGAAGUACGUAACCGCAAGGAUCGUCCUAGGGUAAAACUGGUGACUGG